ACCUGAUGGUGUGAUCAUUUACGUAAGACAUCCCUAAAGCGCUUCCAAGUCUCAAAAAAUAGUUCCUCAUCCAAUUGUGAGAAACUAGUGAUGACCUUCCUCAGCU